CAACCCUCGAGCCCUCGUGGCCCGGCGUUGGGGAUCUGCCCAGGCAGGCCCCGAAAACCAGUGGCGGACCCGUUUGGGACCUCUCCUUACGUAGUAGCAUCAGCCUCGUAUCGAGAACCAGCGGGCUUCCAGCCUCUAAACCCCCCACAAGUCCGCUCCGGCGGCACCAA
rnacentral:misc_RNA from 1 species